GAUGAACGCUGGCGGCGUGCCUAAUACAUGCAGGUCGAGCGAACAGACGAGGAGCUUGCUCCUCUGACGUUAGCGGCGGACGGGUGAGUAACACGUGGAUAACCUACCUAUAAGACUGGGAUAACUUCGGGAAACCGGAGCUAAUACCGGAUAAUAUAUUGAACCGCAUGGUUCAAUAGUGAAAGACGGUUUUGCUGUCACUUAUAGAUGGAUCCGCGCCGCAUUAGCUAGUUGGUAAGGUAACGGCUUACCAAGGCAACGAUGCGUAGCCGACCUGAGAGGGUGAUCGGCCACACUGGAACUGAGACACGGUCCAGACUCCUACGGGAGGCAGCAGUAGGGAAUCUUCCGCAAUGGGCGAAAGCCUGACGGAGCAACGCCGCGUGAGUGAUGAAGGUCUUCGGAUCGUAAAGCUCUGUUAUUAGGGAAGAACAAAUGUGUAAGUAACUAUGCACGUCUUGACGGUACCUAAUCAGAAAGCCCCGGCUAACUACGUG
rnacentral:rRNA from 1 species